UGUAAGCGUAUACCAAAGUUGUUGCAGUUAAAACGCUCGUAGUCGGAAUUUGGCAGUUCCGGAUGUGUGCUCGUCGUGUGCGCACUUCGCGGGGAUUGCUUUUGUGGUCUUGCGUAGGAUGAGGCACUUUUAUUAGUGAACGUCCUCACGCAACCACUUUUUACUGUGAGAAAAUCAGAGUGCUCAAAGCAGGCAUUUGCCGUGAAUGUAUUAGCAUGGAAUAAUAGAAUAGGACUUGGUUCUAUUUUGUUGGUUUGUUGGGACUGAGUAAUGAUUAAGAGGGACAGUUGGGGGCAUUUGUAUUUCGGUGCUAGAGGUGAAAUUCUUAGAUUACCGAAAGACAAACUGCUGCGAAAGCGUCUGCCAAGGAUGUUUUCAUUGA
rnacentral:rRNA from 1 species